AAUUGUCAAAUAUUAAACCAUGCAAUAUGCUUAUUGGAUAAGUAAUAUUAAAGGGUUAUUGAACAGAUGAAAUAAUGGUCAAUCAACAUUUUGUAAUAAAUAAUUUGUAACUUUUCAGUUGACGGUUGCUGGUCGCUCAUGGGCUUCUAGGAAACUUAUACUGUUUCCAGUGGAAAUUGUGUAGAAAGAUGUGACAGUUACAUUUCUGAUUAUUGCGGGGGAAACGAAAAUGAGCAAAUACCAUGUAUUCUAUUUACUCGUCCAGGUGAAUAAUUAAUGCUAUGUUAUACCUUAAUAAAAGCAUCUCUAGAUAUCCG
rnacentral:lncRNA from 1 species